AUUGAACGCUGGCGGCAUGCUUUACACAUGCAAGUCGGACGGUAACAGGGUGCUUGCACCGCUGACGAGUGGCGAACGGGUGAGUAAUGCGUCGGAACGUGCCGAGUAGUGGGGGAUAACGCAGCGAAAGUUGUGCUAAUACCGCAUACGUACUGAGGUAGAAAGUGGGGGACCUUCGGGCCUCACGCUAUUCGAGCGGCCGACGUCUGAUUAGCUAGUAGGUGAGGUAAAGGCUCACCUAGGCGACGAUCAGUAGCGGGUCUGAGAGGAUGAUCCGCCAAACUGGGACUGAGACACGGCCCAGACUCCUACGGGAGGCAGCAGUGGGGAAUUUUGGACAAUGGGCGAAAGCCUGAUUCAGCCAUGCCGCGUGUCUGAAGAAGGCCUUCGGGUUGUAAAGGACUUUUGUCAGGGAGGAAAUCCCUAGUGCUAAUAACACUGGGGGAUGACAGUACCUGAAGAAUAAGCACCGGCUAACUACGUGCCAGCCGCCGUAGUAA
rnacentral:rRNA from 1 species